rnacentral:rRNA from 1 species
AACCGCAAGGAGGGCGAUUACCACGGCAGGGUUCGUGACUGGGGUGAAGUCGUAACAAGGUAGCCGUAUCGGAAGGUGCGGCUGGAUCACCUCCUUUCUAG